rnacentral:rRNA from 1 species
UACGAGGGGUGCGAGCGUUGCUCGGAAUUACUGGGCGUAAAGGGCUCGUAGGUGGCCAACUAAGUCAGACGUGAAAUCCCUCGGCUUAACCGGGGAACUGCGUCUGAUACUGGAUGGCUUGAGUUUGGGAGAGGGAUGCGGAAUUCCAGGUGUAGCGGUGAAAUGCGUAGAUAUCUGGAGGAACACCGGUGGCGAAGGCGGCAUCCUGGACCAACACUGACACUGAGGAGCGAAAGCCAGGGGAGCAAACGGG